CCAAAUCGGUAGACGCUACGGACUUAAAUAAUUUGAGCUUUAGUAGAAAAACUUACUAAAUGCUGGUUCAAGUCCCUCUACCCCCAAAGAAUUUUUUUUAUUGACAU
rnacentral:tRNA from 1 species